UAAUACGGAGGGCGCAAGCGUUGUUCGGAAUCAUUGGGCGUAAAGCGCGUGUAGGUGGCUUGGAAAGUUGGGUGUGAAAGCCCGGGGCCCAACCCCGGAAUUGCACUCAAAACUUCCUGGCUAGAGUCUCGGAGAGGAAGGCGGAAUUCCCGGUGUAGAGGUGAAAUUCGUAGAUAUCGGGAGGAACAUCAGUGGCGAAGGCGGCCUUCUGGACGAUGACUGACACUGAGACGCGAAAGCGUGGGGAGCAAACAGGAUUAGAUACCCUGGUAGUCCACGCCGUAAACGUUGUGUGCUAGGUGUCGCGGGUAUUGACCCCUGCGGUGCCGUCGUUAACGCAUUUAGCACACCGCCUGGGGAGUACGGUCGCAAGGCUA
rnacentral:rRNA from 1 species